AAAUCUCAUCUAAACAGAAUUUUCUUGCCUAAUUAAUGGCGCAAUUACACCUACAAGGAACAAGAAUAAUAUCUUACAACAGACGUGCAGGUUUCACGCUCCAUAGCAGAUGAUGGAAACAAUGACUUCCACCUAAAACAAGAGGAAGACCUUUAUAAGGACUCCUUGUAUUCACCAACUUCAGUCAAUAACACUUACACAGUGACUACUAUCAUCACUUCAACACGAUGAAUUCCAAAGAAGCUAACAAGAAUGAACCUCCACAGACAGUUACAGGCUACUUGCUUUCAGUGUCGCCUGUUAAAAUGUCUCAAAAAAAUCAUCGGUACUUCAAUGCUAUAAUUCAAAUAGACAGACAUCAAUACCACAACACUGUGGUAUUUUCGCCGGAGAAACACAACCAAUUAACACUGGCUGCAAGAAACAAAACACCUGUCAAGAUUAACAAUGCCACGGAAAAAAUAAGUACUCAAUUUCCUCUUUCUUCAGCAGUCACUUUCAUUUCAUUUUAUCUUUCUUACAGUUGUUAUUGUUUGUCAACAGUAGUAAUUUUAAAACGUAUUAAAAAGCUAUUUUUACAACUUUACCAUUCACAAAGCUCCCUCCUUACUCUUAUUG